rnacentral:rRNA from 1 species
AACGAACGCUGGCGGCAUGCCUAACACAUGCAAGUCGAACGAGACCUUCGGGUCUAGUGGCGCACGGGUGCGUAACGCGUGGGAACCUGCCCUUAGGUUCGGAAUAACUCCCCGAAUGGGGUGCUAAUACCGGAUAAUGUCUUCGGACCAAAGAUUUAUCGCCUUUGGAUGGGCCCGCGUUGGAUUAGCUAGUUGGUAGGGUAAAAGCCUACCAAGGAGACGAUCCAUAGCUGGUCUGAGAGGAUGAUCAGCCACUCUGGGACUAGGACACGGCCCAGACUCCUACGGGAGGCAGCAAUGGGUAAUAUUGGACAAUGGGCGAAAGCCUGAUCCAGCAAUGCCGCGUGAGUGAUGAAGGCCUUAGGGAUGUAAAGCACUUUUACCCGGGAUGAUAAUGACAGUACCGGGAGAAUAAGCUCCGGCUAACUCCGUG